UUCAUUUAUCUUUCUUUUAUAGAUGAGUUAUUGCUAACCGUUUGUAAUAGUUAGGCACAUGGGUCCUAUUUAUUUCGGUAUUAUAUGAUCGUGGGAUGGACAAUUAAUAUCUACUAAUGAUCAUGGUGUGUGACCGUUAUGUACUUUUUGCGCUAAUAAUUUUUAAUACACUGAUUUUAUAUCGACAGUCAGAGUGUACCGACUGUAUGUCGAUAACUGUAGAAAUCUGAAUGA
rnacentral:lncRNA from 1 species